rnacentral:rRNA from 1 species
UACGUAGGGACCAAGCGUUGUUCGGAUUAACUGGGCGUAAAGGGCGCGUAGGCGGCGUGUUAAGUCAGCUGUGAAAUCUCCAAGCUUAACUUGGAACGGUCAGCUGAUACUGAUGUGCUAGAGUGCAGAAGGGGCAAUCGGAAUUCUUGGUGUAGCGGUGAAAUGCGUAGAUAUCAAGAGGAACACCUGAGGUGAAGACGGGUUGCUGGGCUGACACUGACGCUGAGGCGCGAAAGCUAGGGUAGCAAACGGG